AUUGAACGCUGGCGGCAGGCCUAACACAUGCAAGUCGAACGAGUGGCGGACGGGUGAGUAAUGUCUGGGAAACUGCCCGAUGGAGGGGGAUAACUACUGGAAACGGUAGCUAAUACCGCAUACCAUCGGAUGUGCCCAGAUGGGAUUAGCUUGUAGGUGAGGUAACGGCUCACCUAGGCGACGAUCCCUAGCUUGUCUGAGAGGAUGACCAGCCACACUGGUACGUAGACACGGUCCAGACGUCUACGGUAGGCACCAGUGGUGAAUAUUGCACAAUGGGCGCAUGCCUGAUGCAGCCAGGCCGCGUUGAUGAAGAAGGCCUUCGGGUUGUAAAGUACUUUCAGCGGGGAGGCGUGACCCGCAGAAGCAGCACCGGCUAACUCCGUGCCAGCAGCCGCGGUAAUUC
rnacentral:rRNA from 1 species